rnacentral:rRNA from 1 species
AUUGAACGCUGGCGGCAGGCCUAACACAUGCAAGUCGGGCGAGCGGCGGACGGGUGAGUAAUGUAUGGGGACUGCCUGAUGGAGGGGGAUAACUACUGGAAACGGUAGCUAAUACCGCAUACCAUCAGAUAACCCAUAUGGGAUUAGCUGGUAGGUAAGGUAACGGCUUACCUAGGCGACGAUCCCUAGCUGGUCUGAGAGGAUGACCAGCAACGCUGGGACUUAGACAAGGCCCAGACUCACACGGAGGCAGCAGUGGUGAAUAUUGCGCAAGGAGCGCAACCCUGACGCAGCCACGCCGCGUGAAUGAAGAAGGCCUUCGGGUUGUAAAGUUCUUUUGGUAGCGAGGCGUUAACUACAGAAGAAGCCCAGGCUAACUCCUUGACAGCAGCCGCGGUAAUAC